AUGGGUUCCACCGUAGACGUCGUUGUGGCCCUUGAUGGUAGUGGCAACUACCGCAGCAUUAGCGCCGCCGUCGCUGCCGCGCCACGCAAGAGCAUAGUUAGGCACGUAGUCCACAUAAAGGCUGGAGUUUACAAUGAAUACGUGUCUAUAGGCAGCGAUGUCUGGAACAUCACGCUCGUCGGAGAUGGGAUGGACCGAACCAUUAUCUCCGGCAACCGAAGCCGAGGCGGUGGCGUCAAAACGGUGGACAGCGGCACCGUCAGCGUUGAUGGCCGGGGCUUCGUAGCCCGCGACCUAAGCAUUGAAAAUACAGCAGGGGCUAUCAAUCAUCAGGCUGUCGCGCUGAGAUCCUCCUCCGACAACUGUGCCGUGUACCGCUGCGCCAUCACGGGCUAUCAAGAUAGCCUCUACGCGAAGGAAGGAAAGCAAUUUUACAGGGAGUGCCGCAUCUCGGGCACAGUCGAUUUCGUCUUCGGCGACGCGGCGGCCAUCUUCCAGAAGUGCUCCAUCAUCGCGCGCAAGCCGCUUAAGGGCCAGGCGAACGUCCUCACCGCGCAGGGACGUGAACGAGCCGACGGUCCGACGGGGUUUGCGUUCCUCUUCUGUGAAGUACUAGUUGCCAACGACGAGCUCCUUCAUGCUGACUUCGCUGUCGAAACAUUCCUUGGCCGGCCGUGGCAGCCUUACUCCCGGGUGGUCUUCCUCAAGUGUAGUCUCCAGGGAUUCAUCAAUCCAAAGUGGUGGCUCCAAUGGGAGGGCCACACCGACGUCGACAAAAUGUUCUACGGCGAGUACAGCAACUCCGGGCCGGGCGCCGACGUGACAGGCCGGGUCAACUGGCCCGGGUUUCACCUCUUGCAAGAUGCCGAAGCUGCCAACUUCAGUGUGGAGAAGUUCAUUCAGGGCGAUGUUUGGCUACCGGCCACUGGAGUGGAGUUCACCCCUGGACUUGGCCAGUGA
rnacentral:rRNA from 1 species